ACUGCACUCCAACCUGGUGACAGAGUGAGACCCUGUCUUAAAAAAAAAAAGUUUAUUAAUAUCAGUUAGAAAUCUAGUUGUUCAUUGCAGAACUAAACCAGUUUAUAGCAGACAUGAGCACUGGGAGGGAAAUGUUACGUUUUCACUCCAGGCCUUGAAUCCUUAGCCAGCAGCUGUGUGUCCUUCAGGGUUCUGUGGUUCCUGGUCCCAGAGAAAUCACUCGCUCCAAUGUAACGAGCGAAGAGUUCUUUAGGUGAUGGCCGCUGGGCCCAGCUUUGCUGUUGUCUUUGCUGUCUCGUAAGCCUCGUGUUGCUCACGUUCAGUUGUGUGUGAGUGCACUGACUGUACCAUGAGCUUCUCCAAGCACGUGCAAGCAAUUUGAGAGGAUGUUUUAUCGGGUGGGUCAGGUGAGGGAGAUAACGGGGCAAGAAGGAAAGUUAUUAAUUCACGUGAAACUACCAGCCCUUCAUCGCCUAACUUGUGAUUUACAGACACUGAGCACACUGCAGGUUGAGAAGGUGCUUGGUCCUUUUUGUAGCCUUACCCUGUGCUCUUUAGAGCUGUGAGUGUGCGACUUUUUCUCACCAUUUUGUUUCUUGUAGAUUGUUGUCCUUGAUACUGGAAAACAUUUUGAAGACAAGACUCUAGACUCUGAACAGUGGCCUAUGCCACACUAGUUUAUUGGAAAAUGAGAAACUUACAUUACUGACAAGCUUGGAAGAUUUUUCUGUCCUGCAGUGGCCUGUGUUUCCCUGGUCUUUACCUUGCCACUCUGCUUUAUUCUCUUUUUGUGUGGCAGUAGUUAUGAUGCCAACUUUUGGGGUUUCUUUGUCCUCCUCUUUUCUUCCUACCUGCUAGCAUUCAAAUGGCCACUUCUAUUAAGUGAUGGAAUUCAGGAAUGUAUUUCUGUGUAUUAAUCCUGAUACGGUUUCACUCAUCUCUCUGUUUAACGUUUAGGGUACAAAGUAGUCACCGGGAGGUGCCACUCAGUAUACAGCACUGUGUUUAGAAAUUGAGGGAGCCGUGAAAUACUGAGCCUCUGCUCUCUGAGACCUCAGCCAGGUGCAAAGGAGAUGCAGAACCGCAUUUCAGGUUGUGGUGUGUACACCCAGCAGCACCAAAAUGUGCCUGGGAAUCAUGGCGGUCAGAAAUUUUGAGGCAGGUAUGGCUGAGGCUUUAUGAAAAAAGAUGGGGUCUGUGCCAGGCCUUAGAUGUGGGAGAAGGAGGAUGUGUCAGGAAGCAGAAAGAGCAUCACCAAAGUGCUGCUGUGGGGCAUGUGGGCCGUGUUUGGGGAACAGCAGCGGCUUUGUGUGUCAGGUUUGCCGCACCUGUGGGAGGCUGCGUUGGUAAAUAAGCCCCACGAAGUAGACUGGGGUCACUUAAAUUAAAAUUAAAAGUAUGUAUGGCUUUGAAGGCCAGCUGAGUGAUAUAAAUAGAAACUAUAAACAGUAUCACAUUUAUUGAAGACAGCUUUUGCUGCCAAAGGAGUUUUUGAACUUUUUUGGAUUGUGUAGUUGGUGGGUAAAGAAUUAUUGACCUAAAUGUAUCCGAUCUUUGAGUGUUUUAAUAUGCUAGAUUAUUGGAGGUGAAAUGGCUAAGUCAAAGGCGAUGAGUGUUUUUGAGACUCUUAAUGUUAAUUGCAAAAUGAACCUCUAAAAAAGCAGUGCCAGCUUAGACCAUGACUGAGAGCUCUUGUUUUAUCUUGUCCUGCUGAGCUGGGUGUUACAACAUUGAAACCUUCUGCAGUGUGUUCUUUCUUUCUCUCUCUGUCUCCUCCCUUCAUCCCUUCCUUUCUUUUACUUCUCUUAGGAUAGGCUCAUCUGUACUUUUCUGAUAGAGGUAACUAUUUGUCACACCAUUUUCCGUAGGGCCUGCUGUCUUCCCAUUCAUUGGUGACGGCACAUUUAUCCUACCGUAAGCUUUGAUAAUGUGUCAGGAUCUUUCUGUCCUGUCCUCUCAAAGAGGAUGAUAUUGAUGAUGAUAUGUCUUAUGAUGAACAUUUAGAGGUUUAUUUUGAACAACUGGCAAUUCCAGGAAUGAUGGAAUAAAACAUAUGAAGUAGAAGGACUGGAACCUCCAUAAAAAAUACUUUGUUACCUGCAAGUGAUCCUAGUCAGGUAUAAAUUGACAAGAAAUACCUGCACCUUUCCUCCUUCCUAUCUUUCCCUUGCCUACAGAAAAUUGAAAAGUAAAACAGUGGACAUCUACAUAUUCUUCAUUCAGAUUAACAAGUUGCUAGCAUUUGCCACCUUUGCAUUUUCUUUCUCUUUCUCACCUACUGAAGGAAGUUCUCAAGUUCUGAUUGAGUUCUAAAAGUUUUUUGAAGAUUGGAAUUCUUCAUAUUUUGUAAGAAAGACAAGUGGAGUCUCCUCUGCUUCAGCAAAGCUGCUUGAACACGAACCUUCCUGAAACUUUCAUGCACGUUGGUGGGAGCGUCCCUGAGCGUCACACGGAUUUUCAAGGAUGUGUCUAUUCUGUAAAGUGCUGUUACGCUCCCCUUUUAUGUAAUUAGGUAAAAAGAGAAAAAUACAUUCUUGAUUUUGGUGACUAGAGUUGUGGAUGCCGGAAAGCUCUGCCACUAAGAUUGAUGAACCAGACGCAUGUCACUGGCCAGUCACAGAUUCUUAAUGCCGGCACCGUGGCCUGGCACUGUCACGUUUUCCAGGGAACCUGCCCGAGCUCCUGCAGAAGCUGCUCCUCGGGCUUAUGGAGUCCCUUAGCUGGUAGGCCCUUCUUUAGUCACCACAGGAUGCCUGCUGUUCAUGAACAGGAAGGAGAGGAUGGGCUUUGAAUAAAACACAGACUUAAAGCCCAUUUUGUGUGACAAGCAUAGCAGUGGUGACUCCUUUCCUUUCUGAUCUUCACCGAACCUCGCUUCUUCACAUUUACCGAAAUGUCUACUUAGAGCCACGGCACCUCUUUGAAUUGUCACAUCUACUGCAUGGUGAUGGUAGAUUUCCUUUUCAUCUGUACUCUGAAGGAAUCCGAAACAGGCAUUUUUACAAGUCUAGGAAGGAAACAUAAAUCUAUGUGUCAAAAGAAUGAACAUAGAAAAUAAUGUGUCCUGGUUAACAAAAGUUCUCAUUGUAAAGUGUUAUGCACAAGAUUAUGGAAUUUUAUGUGCCAUAAAUGAAGUUGUCUUCAUUUGUCUAAAACUACUUUUAAAAAUUACAUGUUACUUUAAUAAAGGUAUUUUUGAGAAUUUGGUGA